UUCCACAUGAUCGCAUGUGAUUGUGGGAAAGAUUCUAUCGGCGUGGGGUGGGGUCGCGUCCUAUCAGCUUGUUGGUGAGGUAACGGCUCACCAAGGCUUCGACGGGUAGCCGGCCUGAGAGGGCGACCGGCCACAUUGGGACUGAGAUACGGCCCAGACUCCUACGGGAGGCAGCAGUGGGGAAUAUUGCACAAUGGGCGCAAGCCUGAUGCAGCGACGCCGCGUGAGGGAUGGAGGCCUUCGGGUUGUAAACCUCUUUUGUUUGGGAGCAAGCCUUCGGGUGAGUGUACCUUUCGAAUAAGCGCCGGCUAACUACGUGCCAGCAGCCGCGGUAAUACGUAGGGCGCAAGCGUUAUCCGGAUUUAUUGGGCGUAAAGGGCUCGUAGGCGGCUCGUCGCGUCCGGUGUGAAAGUCCAUCGCUUAACGGUGGAUCUGCGCCGGGUACGGGCGGG
rnacentral:rRNA from 1 species